rnacentral:rRNA from 1 species
UAGCCGACCUGAGAGGGUGAUCGGCCACACUGGAACUGAGACACGGUCCAGACUCCUACGGGAGGCAGCAGUAGGGAAUCUUCCGCAAUGGGCGAAAGCCUGACGGAGCAACGCCGCGUGAGUGAUGAAGGUCUUCGGAUCGUAAAGCUCUGUUGUUAGGGAAGAACAAAUGUGUAAGUAACUGUGCACAUCUUGACGGUACCUAACCAGAAAGCCACGGCUAACUACGUGCCAGCAGCCGCGGUAAUACGUAGGUGGCAAGCGUUAUCCGGAAUUAUUGGGCGUAAAGCGCGCGUAGGCGGUUUUUUAAGUCUGAUGUGAAAGCCCACGGCUCAACCGUGGAGGGUCAUUGGAAACUGGAAAACUUGAGUGCAGAAGAGGAAAGUGGAAUUCCAUGUGUAGCGGUGAAAUGCGCAGAGAUAUGGAGGAACACCAGUGGCGAAGGCGGCUUUCUGGUCUGCAACUGACGCUGAUGUGCGAAAGCGUGGGGAUCAAACAGGAUUAGAUACCCUGGUAGUCCACGCCGUAAACGAUGAGUGCUAAGUGUUAGGGGGUUUCCGCCCCUUAGUGCUGCAGCUAACGCAUUAAGCACUCCGCCUGGGGAGUACGGUCGCAAGACUGAAACUCAAAGGAAUUGACGGGGACCCGCACAAGCGGUGGAGCAUGUGGUUUAAUUCGAAGCAACGCGAAGAACCUUACCAAAUCUUGACAUCCUUUGACCGCUCUAGAGAUAGAGUUUUCCUCUUCGGAGGACAAAGUGACAGGUGGUGCAUGGUUGUCGUCAGCUCGUGUCGUGAGAUGUUGGGUUAAGUCCCGCAACGAGCGCAACCCUUGAACUUAGUUGCCAUCAUUCAGUUGGGCACUCUAAGUUGACUGCCGGUGACAAACCGGAGGAAGGUGGGGAUGACGUCAAAUCAUCAUGCCCCUUAUGAUUUGGGCUACACACGUGCUACAAUGGACAAUACAAAGGGCAGCGAAACCGCGAGGUCAAGCAAAUCCCAUAAAGUUGUUCUCAGUUCGGAUUGUAGUCUGCAACUCGACUACAUGAAGCUGGAAUCGCUAGUAAUCGUAGAUCAGCAUGCUACGGUGAAUACGUUCCCGGGUCUUGUACACACCGCCCGUCACACCACGAGAGUUUGUAACACCCGAAGCCGGUGGAGUAACCAUUUUGGAGCUAGCCGUCGAAGGUGGGACAAAUGAUUGGGGUGAAGUCGUAACAAGGUAGCCGUAUCGGAAGGUGCGGCUGGAUCACCUCCUUU